rnacentral:rRNA from 1 species
CCCUAUGGGGUGCAGCAGGCGAUCAAGGGAUUCGUUCUGCUCAUCGCGGUCGGCUUCGACGUGAUCUCCAAGAUCCGCGCGAAGGUCUAAUGUAGCAAUCGAAUCACCCAGUCUUUCCGGCGCAGGCGGGCGGAUGAUAUAUCAUCCUUUCGCUUGCGCUUUUUUUGCGCCCGAAAAGCGUUUUGACGCGUAACGUUCGAAAUGUGGGAACGAUCAUUCUGAAAUAGUGAACGAAUCCGUUGCUCACAGGCCGGCGGAAUGCUAUGAUAAAUCCAUCAAGAGUAAGUACUUCGCAUCUAGUAAAGCUUUCAUCAACCAAGCCUUCAAAUAACCAAGCCGAACAGGUAACAUGACAAAACAAACAGAAGCACAUGUAAAAUCGAUCGAGCGCGCGUUUUUAAUCGUCGAUGCGCUCGCAGAGGAGCCGCGUGAGCACUCCCUGACCGAAUGGGCGGGGGGGC